rnacentral:rRNA from 1 species
UGGUUAGUCCGCAACAGCGCAACCCUUAUCCUUGUUGCCAGCGGUUCGGCCGGGAACGUCAAAGGAGACUGCCAGUGAUAAACUGGAGGAAGGUGGGGAGUGUCGUCAAGUCAUCAUGGCCCUUACGAGUAGGGCUACACACGUGCUACAAUGGCAUAUACAAAGAGAAGCGACCUCGCGAGAGCAAGCGGACCUCAUAAAGUAUGUCGUAGUCCGGAUUGGAGUCUGCAACUCGACUCCAUGAAGUCGGAAUCGCUAGUAAUCGUAGAUCAGAAUGCUACGGUGAAUACGUUCCCGGGCCUU